rnacentral:lncRNA from 1 species
CACCCCACUGCUCCCAGCACACCCAGACCACCACCCUGCACGUCCCCACAUGUCCCCAGCACGCACCCCACGCACAGCGGCAGCGCUCCGGGGACACGCAGUCGCCGUCCUGCAGCAGCUGCCCAUGGGGACAGGCGCAGGCGGGCAGGCAGCGGGGGGUGGCCAUGCAGGCAGUGUCCUCCCGCAGGUCCUCGCAGGUGUGGGGACACGGCUUGCCACAGGCAAAGGCCACCAGACCGCCACCACACUCUGCAGGGAGCAGCAGUUUGUAGGGGCGGAUGGGAGGGGUGCGGAUGGGAGGGGGUGGACACGGACAUAGCGGUGAGGGGACUGUGACCCCAGGACCCUGCAGCAGCCUCACCUGGGCAAGUGCUGGUGGCCCAUGGGCAGGCCCGGCUCUGGCUCCAGCCACCCCAUGGGGACAGGAUGCAGUCGGCUGGCGGGGAUGGAGAUGGGUGAGGGCUGCCCUGGGGGCCUCCCCAUGCCCAGAGCUUAUCCCCUUUGGAAAGGCCCACAGGGAUGGAAUCUCUGCUCAGCCCCUCUUGGUGCCCUCCAGCUCUGGUGUCACCAGCCCUGGCACUCCCAACACCUGCCCCCUCACUUUCCCACUGGAGCAGAGGGCUGGAGCUGGUCAGCACAGAACGCUUGGUGAUGGAGGGAUGCCCUUUCCCCAUCCCCACCCCCACCCCUUCCCUCUCCACAUUCCUAUCCCCAUCCCCGUUCCUCAUGUCUUCUGCAUUCCUGUCACUGUCCCUAUCCCCACCCCACAUGCAUUCCCAUCCCCAGCUCCAUCACCAUUCCAUUCAAUUCUCUUCACUGUUAACAUCUCCAUCCCCGCCUAUCCUAUCCCAAUCCUAUUCCCAUCCCCUCUCCAUCCCACCCCUAUUACACUCCAUUCCCAUCCCCAUCUCCAAGCCCAUAUCAUCCGCUGCCAUUCUCAUCCCAUCCCCAUUCCAAUCUCACCUCCUCUCCAUCCCUUUGUCAUCCCCAUCCCAUCCCCAUCCCUUCCCCAUUCCCCCCACACACCACAGCUGCUCUCAUCGGAGCCAUCGGCGCAGUCGCGGCUCAGGUCGCAGCGCUUCUCCAGGGCCAGGCACUCCCCAGUGCUGCAGGAGAACUGCUUGGGGGAGCAGGUGGGUGGGGGACCGCUGGGCCAGGCCAGGGGUGUUGGGGGGCUGCUGGAGGCGGGGGGGGCUCCUGUGGGACAAGCCCUUGUGUUGAGCUGGGGUUCAGCAAUCCCAGGCUCUGUGGGGGCAGGGAGGUGCUGGGGGGCUCACCGCAGUGCGCCUCAUCAGAGCCAUCCAGGCAGUCCUGCUGCCCAUCACAGACCAUGGCUGCAUCCACACAGCCCAAGGCAUCACAGAGGAACUGGUCCGGGAGGCACAGGAGCCGGGGCAGGGGUGGCUCUGGUGGGAAGUGAGGGAUUGUGGUGGGGGCUGGUGGGACAAGUGGGAGCCGUGGGUUAUCACUGCCCGCCUCAUGGCACACCCAGCCGGCAGCAAGAUGUACGUUGUCCCCAUGUCACCCUGGGGACAUUCACAUACCCCCUAUGGUACCAGGUGCUGGGGAAGUCGUCCCCCCCUCAGACCCCACACAGGCCUGGUGCCAGGUCAUGCCUCCUUACCAGCAGACGUUGGAGUGGGGACCCCAGUGGGGGGCACAGGCGGUCCUGUCACAGGGCGUGACACCAUUACUGCUGCCAUGGGGGGACUAGGAGAGGGUGGCCCCCUGGGGGUGCUGGUGGUGGUGGGGACGCCUGGCAGCCUGGUGGUAGAUGGCACAGCAGGGCUGGUGGAGCCAACAGUGCUUGUCCCUGCUGGCACCUGCACACGGGGAGAUGAGUGUCACCACUGCCGCUCUCUGUGCCACAUGGCUCCUGCCCCCCGCUUGUCCCCAAGUUCCAGGGCUCACCGCUGCUGGAGAGGCCGCAGGUGGCUCUGCGGUCAGCCCCAGGAUGCCGGCACUGCCAGGGGUUGUGAGGCUGGAAGAUGCAGAGCUGGGCAGUGAGGGGCUGUGUGCCCCAAAUGUGGCACCCCCAAGGCACACCCAACCCCCACUGGUACCAGUACCUGGCAGGGUGGGUGGGCAGCGUGGUGCUGCUGGGGGGCUCACAGCCGGCCUCGUCAGCACCACCAGGGCAAUCUGUGACACCAUCACAUCUCCGGGAUGCUGUGACACAGCUGACCCCACACCAGAACUCCUCCAUGCCACAGGAUGCUGGUGUCACCGCCAUCGUCACGGCCAGGGCCAGGGGCACUUUGGGGAGAGGGAGAGGUGGGCAGAGAGAAGAGGUCUUGGGGUAACCCCCACAGCACAGCACAGCACAGCACAGGGUACCUGCUGGGCAGCCCAGCAGCUCGGCCCGCAGGAAGAUGGCGUUGUGGAAGCGCCGAGGGAGGAUGCGGACGUAGCGUGCCUGCGCCAUGUGGUCCAGCAGCUGCACCACCGGCGUGGUGGCAUCCCAGUUGCCCUGGAAGAGCUGUGGAGGGCAGUGAUGAGUAUGAAGGGUUGUGCACCUGGGUGCAUACCCAUGCACACCCCCAUGUGCACACCAUGCAUGCACCCGUGUGCAAACCCACUCACAAACCCAGGUUCAAAUCCACUCGCACAGCACCAGCGCAUCUGCACCCAGGCACACAUGCAGGGAAGGGGACAUGGGAUCAUCGUGUUACUGGCCACAAAGGGACAGUCGUGGAACUUCGGGACAGUCCUGUGCAGCCCCCCACCCCCUCCCCCCGACACACAUCCCCAUGCAGGUGCCCAUGGCACAAGCAGCACCUUGGGCUCCGGCCAGCUGCUGGCAGAGACCUGUCGGUAGUCGUGCCAGUGGUUCCCAUCAGUGCUGAACUGCAGCUGGAAGGCAGUGAUGAAAGCAUCCCCAGCCCCGGCCCCCUGCACCACCACCCCUGUUGGGGAAGAUAU